rnacentral:rRNA from 1 species
GCUGGCGGCAGGCUUAACACAUGCAAGUCGAGCGGAAACGAUGGGAGCUUGCUCCCAGGCGUCGAGCGGCGGACGGGUGAGUAAUACUUAGGAAUCUGCCCAGUAGUGGGGGAUAGCUCGGGGAAACUCGAAUUAAUACCGCAUACACCCUACGGGGAAAAGGGGGCGCUUGCGCUCUCGCUAUUGGAUGAGCCUAAGUCGGAUUAGCUAGUUGGUGGGGUAAAGGCCUACCAAGGCGACGAUCUGUAGCUGGUCUGAGAGGAUGAUCAGCCACACCGGGACUGAGACACGGCCCGGACUCCUACGGGAGGCAGCAGUGGGGAAUAUUGGACAAUGGGGGCAACCCUGAUCCAGCCAUGCCGCGUGUGUGAAGAAGGCCUUUUGGUUGUAAAGCACUUUAAGCAGUGAAGAAGACCUAACGGUUAAUACCCGUUAGCGAUGACAUUAGCUGCAGAAUAAGCACCGGCUAACUCUGUGCCAGCAGCCGCGGUAAUACAGAGGGUGCAAGCGUUAAUCGGAAUUACUGGGCGUAAAGCGAGCGUAGGUGGCUUGAUAAGUCAGAUGUGAAAUCCCCGGGCUUAACCUGGGAACUGCAUCUGAUACUGUCAGGCUAGAGUAGGUGAGAGGGAGGUAGAAUUUCAGGUGUAGCGGUGAAAUGCGUAGAGAUCUGAAGGAAUACCGAUGGCGAAGGCAGCCUCCUGGCAUCAUACUGACACUGAGGCUCGAAAGCGUGGGUAGCAAACAGGAUUAGAUACCCUGGUAGUCCACGCCGUAAACGAUGUCUACUAGUCGUUGGGGAACUUGAUUCCUUAGUGACGCAGCUAACGCAAUAAGUAGACCGCCUGGGGAGUACGGCCGCAAGGUUAAAACUCAAAUGAAUUGACGGGGGCCUGCACAAGCGGUGGAGCAUGUGGUUUAAUUCGAUGCAACGCGAAGAACCUUACCUGGUCUUGACUUAUCUAGAAUCCUGCAGAGAUGCGGGAGUGCCUUCGGGAAUUAGAAUACAGGUGCUGCAUGGCUGUCGUCAGCUCGUGUCGUGAGAUGUUGGGUUAAGUCCCGCAACGAGCGCAACCCUUUUCCUUAGUUACCAGCGGUUUGGCCGGGGACUCUAAGGAUACUGCCAGUGACAAACUGGAGGAAGGCGGGGACGACGUCAAGUCAUCAUGGCCCUUACGACCAGGGCUACACACGUGCUACAAUGGUAGGUACAGAGGGCAGCUACACAGCGAUGUGAUGCGAAUCUCAAAAAGCCUAUCGUAGUCCAGAUUGGAGUCUGCAACUCGACUCCAUGAAGUAGGAAUCGCUAGUAAUCGCGGAUCAGAAUGCCGCGGUGAAUACGUUCCCGGGCCUUGUACACACCGCCCGUCACACCAUGGGAGUUGAUUGCACCAGAAGUGGGUAGCCUAACUUUUAGAGGGCGCUCACCACGGUGU